CAGGGAAGACACAACUGAUCGUGAUGUCUGAGCGCGACCAAGCGUAAGUUGGAAGCACUUGUCUCAGGCCGCGGUCUGUCAUCUCGAAGUCGAUCGGUACCUCAAGGUGAGCCAUCAAAGCCAAGGUAGAAGCCAGAGAGCUCGAGAGAGCAGGAUGGAGGAAGCCAAAGGAUGUUGUGAUGGACUCGUUUUCAGUUCCUAAACUUUGUCUAGGUCACCCCACCAAGGGUUUUGCCAGACAUCCAGUGUUUCGGAUCCCGCCAGGGAGAGGAAGCCAUGGGUGAUUGGAGGAACCACUGUCAGAGUGAUUGUUCCUGGGCCAUUAGCUCAGGUGGUUAGAGCGCACCCCUGAUAAGGGUGAGGUCCCUGGUUCAAGUCCAGGAUGGCCCAUUCGUGUUUGGGGGUUUAGCUCAGUUGGUAGAGCGCCUGCUUUGCAAGCAGGAUGUCAGCGGUUCGAGUCCGCUAACCUCCAUCCAGCUAGGUUAAGACCACAACAUGAAGCUGCAUCAGGAGGAAUUCUGAUGGGUGAAGUGACCGGACAUGUUCAGCUGAGGACUCCAGCCUCCUUUCAUUCCCAAAGAAUGGAUUCAUCGUAUCGGAUGGGUUUCAUUUUGUGAUGGUUGAAAGGAAGCUGGACUCGCUGAUCACCAUUUUGCUUGCUCAUGUGAUCAUGUUCAAGUGAAAUGAUGCAUCGGUGUAGCCAGCAAAGAACCUUGACAACUGCAUAGGUGAGUCUGGAAAAGAAAGCAUCUCAUGGAUGCCCAGACGGACGUGGACGGAUCCUGGUAACCCCGGGUGAAGACUGCGGCUGACUGGGAGAUUCUUGAGUUUAGAGCCGAGAGCUUCCAGCGUCUUUUCGCUCCGCCGAGGAGGGAAGAGUCAGAUUCUGCGUUUCAAACCGCUUGCGUUUGAAUGGGACGAGAGACCGCGACGGGCAACCGCAGCGGUGAAUGGUUUCAUGAAAAGCGAAAGCAGGUGAAAGCAGGAGAAUGGGUCUCAACAACCCUGAACGUUGGAAGUGUUAAUU
rnacentral:tRNA from 1 species